rnacentral:rRNA from 1 species
AUUGAACGCUGGCGGCAUGCUUUACACAUGCAAGUCGAACGGUAACAGGCCGCAAGGUGCCGACGAGUGGCGAACGGGUGAGUAAUGCAUCGGAACGUGCCCAGUCGUGGGGGAUAACUACUCGAAAGAGUAGCUAAUGCCGCAUACGAUCUAUGGAUGAAAGCGGGGGACCGUAAGGCCUCGCGCGAUUGGAGCGGCCGAUGUCAGAUUAGGUAGUUGGUGGGGUAAAGGCUCACCAAGCCAACGAUCUGUAGCUGGUCUGAGAGGACGACCAGCCACACUGGGACUGAGACACGGCCCAGACUCCUACGGGAGGCAGCAGUGGGGAAUUUUGGACAAUGGGCGCAAGCCUGAUCCAGCAAUGCCGCGUGCAGGAAGAAGGCCUUCGGGUUGUAAACUGCUUUUGUACGGAACGAAACGGCUCUGGUUAAUACCCGGGGCUAAUGACGGUACCGUAAGAAUAAGCACCGGCUAACUACGUG